CUACGGUGAAUACGUUCCCGGACCUUGUACACACCGCCCGUCAAGCCAUGGAAGCUGGGCGUACCUAAAGUCGAUAACCGUAAGGAGUCGCCUAGGGUAAAACUAGUAACUGGGGCU
rnacentral:rRNA from 1 species